CCGAAUCAAAGGAGAAGACAUUCGCCACUGCUACACAAAACAAAAAAAUUCUGGACCAUCAGGGUGAGGAAAAUGAUUUGAACAUUUAUGUGGGCCUUCAAAACUUGCGCACAUGAUGUUAAAAAAAAUGUCCCUCUUCAAUGCAGUACAGCCAGCUAUCCAUCUCCAGAAUUGUUGGAUUUUUUACACCAAUUACUUUCACCUCAGUGAAAGAUAUCAAACCACCUGAUGGUCCAGAAAC